rnacentral:lncRNA from 1 species
GUGAUUUUAUUCUUUGUGAUCAGUAAAAUAAUGAUGUAUUUUACAAUUGAUGUGAUUGAUACAUCAUACAAUUUUUAGAAAAUGCUUUUAGUAUUAACAAAUGAUCAUUCAGUGGUUUGUAUACACCUGGUAUUAUUCUACAUGCUUGAUGUAUUAUUAAUUCAUUCAAUCUUCACAGCAUCUCAGGAGGGAGACAGUAACACCACUCCCGUGAUCCAAUUCUGAAUCUAAGCCCAAGUCCUACAAGAAAUAAACAGAAAAACCUGAGCUUGACUCAGCCUGUUUCCAGAAUGCUUGCUCACAUCAAAUAUGUUAGAGUAUCUUUUAUCUUAUAUAGUAAAUACUUUAUAGGUUUAGUUUAAGAAUUGUUACUCUUCACCACAGUCAUGAAGCUAUCUUUUUAAGUUCUAAAUAAUGUAUUAAAUUGUUUUUAUAUUUAGGUCUGUGAUCCAUUUGGAAUAGGUUAUGUGUGUAAUGUGAGACGGUAGAUUUUAUUUCCAAUGACGCAUAUUCACAUCCCUACAUUUAUUGAAAAUUUAUUUCCCCACUAAUUUAUCUUAUAUAUUAUUUGCCUAUAUAUGCAUGUGUUCGUUUUUAAGCUCUCUUUAAUUUUUUUCCAUUGAUAUUCUCCAUCUUUGUGCAAAUACUGAGUUAGUCCCUUCAUUUAAUGCAAGAAUUUUCCUCCAGUGCCCUUUCUGUUGUCCACUGUACUGUUCUAUAAUGAAGUAAAAGAAGGGUGAAAAUUUGCACACCUUACACCUACACCAGGAUUCCCAGCUGUAUCUUGAAGGAAGCGGAGGUUAGAACUUUCAAGAUUAAUGUCGACACUAAUGUCUCUAAUGUCCUUGUGAAUCUUAGGCAAUUCUCCCGAGAUACUUUCUGCUUUAUUGUGUGUGCGUGUGUUUAACGUUCUCAGUGAAUUCCAUUUGCUGUCAGGACUCCUGAUUUUCUUUCCCUGCUUUUAGGAUACUCAGUGACUUUCUACUCCCCUAGCAACAGCCAGCAGUGGUAGGAACCUGCACAGACAACCCCAGUACCUUGUGCGCGGGCGCAGACACGCCAAGGGUGGUGGGUUGCUUCCUCCAGACCACGCCCACCGAUGCCGGCAGCAGCUGGUGCAGCGGAGCUCAGAUCCUCUCUGUGGGGUCUGCACCGGCAAGGGCAGCUGCUCCCUGCCUUUCCUCAGGAGUCAGUGGAGGUAAUAACUUGUUUUCAUAUAAAGAACAAGUUUGUUCAACAGUGAUUUUGCCUGUUGACCAAAGACAGGACUCGUUACCCCUUAGGGCCUUGCUUGGUAAUAUGUGCUUUUGCUUUUUUUAGGUGGGGGUGGGUGGGCAGAGAGGCGCUCACGAAUGUUUUUAAAACUUUUGUAUAAAUUUUCAUUUUAUUCGUAACAUAAACAUCAUCUACAAGCAAAUCCACAUUCUGUUUUCUAUAUUAAGGCCUUUCAUACUUGUGAUUUAAAAUGCAUGCAUUCAUUUUUUUUCAUUAGGUUUCAAAUAAUCGUUUCAAUUAUUUCCAUGUUUUCAGGUAUCACUCUUCACUAUAUUAAAAGAUAAUAUCGCUUUUAUUAUUUUAAAGACAUAUAUUAUACAUUCUCUGAGGAUUUUCCAGAAAUUUCCUCUGUAAUACCUCUGGUUGGAAAGGUGAGGGACAGAGACUUUACUGGGAGUCACAGGAAAAGUCUGCUCAGUCUCCUGCUUAAAAAGAGCUCUGAAUGUUUUUAUUGCACAGAUGAAUUUUCUCUGAUUGUCAGAUGUUCACAAAGGCUUUAACUUGUAUGAAUGAACUCCGAGACCACCUUUCUGAAUGCACAGACCUGCCACGUUGUUGCUGUAGAAGAAUGGAGACAAGAUGAUUCCAACUUAAAGGAAACUGGAAGUAUUCUGAGGAAACAAAUAGAGAAGUUCUGUGACCCAUGUUUUGGUGAAGUAAUGAUGACACAGGGAUACCCUGCCUCAUGAACGCUGGUGUGACUUCUCUCUUCUGUUCUUACCACUGGACAUGAUGGCUUGAUGAAGUCAGGCCACCUCGCUCUUCUAUGCUCUCAGUUCCAUCUUCUCAACUCGGAAAGCCUGCCAAGGUCCUUACAACAUCACAGCUGGGAAACUCUCAAAGCAGUAAACUUGGGCAAUAGUAGGCUUCACUCACAUCAUUGUUGUGUAUUUCCAGGUAUCAUUGUUCUCCAUCAUUUGGUGUACAGUACUUUAAAAAAGUUUCAUAUUCUUUGUCCAUUUUUUUAUUUAUGUGUGAUAAGGCAUGUCCAGUUCCUAUUAGUUUUUCCAUAACAUCUUGAUUCAUUCCUCCUGCAAAUUCUCGAUGAUCACUCCAUCCCUGGCUAUAUGCUUCUUGUUCACAGUGUAAAGGAGAAUAAAGACCAAUGUAAGCUAAACUCACAGAGAGAUAGAUAAUUUUAUUGGCAUUUGUAAUGCUAAAGAGAAGGUCAGAAUUGGCCUAUGUACAGUAUCUGUAGAAGUUUCCAUAGGGGACAUCCACUAGAAGUCAGUGAAUCAAACAUUUAAAAUGGAUAAUAUCUCUAAAAAAAUAUACUGUCUCUGUCAAUUAUAAUAUUUGACUCAUAAUAGCCUUAUUUUAUACUCAUUGAAAAAGCCCUUCAGAAUUGGUAAGAUGUAGCUUUUAUUUACAUAAAAAUGAAAACAUGUUGAAAUUAAUUUGUCAAUGAAUUUCUAAGGAUACAAUGAUAUUCUAAUUUUUCUGAAUCAGAUCUUGAUCCAGAGUCAUGUAUAUCUUAACAUCACUCUGUGGAAUGAAGAGUGAUACGAGUGAAACAUUUCCUAAUACAAGAGGCACCACUGUCUGUGUAAUUUCCAACUUCCCUGUUGACACCCAG